rnacentral:rRNA from 1 species
CAUAUUGCGGCUACGGGAUAUCCUGUGGCCACGUCUGACCGAGGGUUGG